AAACAGAUAAGGUUAAUACCCUCGUUGCUAUUUUUAGAUUGGGGGAAAUGUACGUUUUAACACUAUAAAUAUAAAAGCACACACAAAAAAAGUAUUAUCAAAUUUAACUGCAGGAAAUAUUUAUUUUGUCACCACGUGUUAUGGCUUUUGACCUUACCGACCUUACCGACGAGUCAACUGAAGAAGAAUUCUUGGGUACAGAGGUCACCACAAGUCAUUAUGUACCAAAAUCUGCGAGAAAGAAAUGUCAAAACGAGUCUUGUGAAACUUUGUUUCUACAUCCUGGCCUUAAACGACCGCAUCACUGUAGAAGAUGCGGGGAAAUAUUGUGUAUGUCAUGUCUGCAGUAUAAACGCCGACUGAACAUCAUGGCACAGCCUGAUCCAAACGGAGUUCUUUGUUAGGUAUGUUUGUCGUGCUUUGAAAACAGAGGUCUGUCGCUGGGAUGUACAAGUCGUUCACAAACAGAAGUGUUCAAACAGUUACGUAAACAAACUAAAGAAGACAUGAUGGAUAUUGUGUAUGGAUAUGCAGUAGAAUCCUGACGGGUUUCCGUCCAACCAACGUUCUGGAAAGAGCAAUUUACGGUAGAUAUUUUAAAAGAAUGCCAAAGACUUCUUGAAGGGUUUAAAUCCUCAAAGAGUGGUUCAGGUACUAUCAACACAAUGCAUGAUAUAAAGGACCAGGUCAGUGUUCCACACUGGCAGAAAUCAACAUUUUGGACGCUUGAAAGUCAUACAACACGAUGUCGACACUGCGGUGGAAAGCUUGGACACCGAAAACAGAUGCGAAACUGCAGAGUGUGUGGACUCGCUUUAUGUAAAACCUGUUCACAAAAAGAACUACUGCUUUAUUAUAAGAAUGGCACCAGAUAAUUGAAAACCGCCGAUGUGCAUAUCUCAAUUUUUCGAUUUGUACGGUAAUAGAUGAUUAAAGUGGAAUACGAGCUAGUAUUGACAUAGAUGUAUUAAUCGAAGCUGAGCAAAUAAUGCAAGAGAUGUCGAUUGAAGAUAUAGAAUGUCUAACUUUAAAGAGCAGGUUACAGGAGAGGUUAAAAAUAUACUGGAAUUUGUAUUCGGAACUGCGGGCCGUAAGUAAAAGCCACAGCGACAAACUUACAGGAAACAUGUUUGAUUUCGUGAUGAACUAUGCUACAGCAAGGAAAAAUUUUUACAUACAGACCGAAAGUAAAAUUCUGAAAAUAUCAACUGGAUAACAGUGUUGUUUAAUUCCACAAACUUCAGGGUAAUAGCAGUAUUGAUUAACAGAAGGAAUGGAAUGACUGCUUCAUUCUGAAUAAAUAAUUUAAUUUUUUUUUCGUAGUUCAUGCGAAAUACAAGACAAAAUGUGAUCGACAAAUACAUGAAUUACGCUAGUUAUCAGGAUUUUCUUUAUAAAUUGCGGGCAUUUUGUUGCAUGUAACUUAAGAAUCGAUUUCUCGAUCAUUCUGUUGACCAGAUAGAACAGAUGCGACGUCAACUAAGGAAUAGAACUUUCUCACCGACUACAUGCGGACGUCACGUUAGCACUUUGGCUCCGUUGCGUUUUAAUUGAAGCAAAAAUGAAUGUUGGCAAAGCAUUUUAAGUUUAUAAUACAUAACAAAUACUAGUAUACUAUCACUUCUGGGCCUUGUUUAGUGUUCGAAUGUAUUCCAUUUACCAUGUUGAGAUAUCUUUUCAAACGUGUUUAUUUUCAUGGUAUGUGUUUUAUUUAAAUGUACAUAUACUAUCGGGCAUUAAAGUGUGAAUA
rnacentral:lncRNA from 1 species